rnacentral:pre_miRNA from 1 species
AGUGGUAUAACUGGGUCAAAUGAUGGUUCCAUCCCAAAUUUUCUGAGGAAUCUCCAUACUGCUUUCCAGAGUGGUUCUACCAAUUUGCAAUCCCACCAGCAAU